AUGGGUUCCAAACAAGUGCUCGUUCCUACCGUCUCAUGCUUGCUGCUCCUAUUCUGCCUUGGAUGCAAAUGCCUAGCAUUGGAAUUAGAGGCGACACAGACGGCCACCCUCAAGGUUGAUGCCUCGUCACAGCUUGCCCGAAAGAUCCCGGACACACUGUUUGGGAUGUUUUUUGAGGAGAUUAACCAUGCAGGAGCCGGUGGCAUAUGGGCAGAACUUGUUAGUAAUAGAGGUUUUGAAGCUGGGGGACUCCAUACACCAUCAAAUAUUGACCCAUGGUCUAUAAUUGGAAAUGACUCUUCCAUAUUUGUGGCGACUGACCGUACAUCAUGUUUCAGUCGAAACAUUAUCGCUCUUAGGAUGGAGGUUCUCUGUGAUGAAUGCCCAGCCGGCGUUGGCAUUUACAACCCUGGGUUCUGGGGCAUGAACAUAGAAGAUGGAAAGACCUACAAUCUAGUUAUGUAUGUUAAAUCAGCAGAAGCUGCAGAUUUGACAGUUUCAUUAGCAAGCUCUGAUGGGUUGCAGAAGCUCGCUUCAGUUACUGUACCAGUUGCUGGCACUUCCAACUGGACAAAAGUAGAGCAAAAACUGAUUGCUAAAGGGACAAACAGGACCUCAAGACUUGAGAUAACAUCUAACAAGAAGGGAGUUGUAUGGUUUGAUCAAGUAUCACUCAUGCCUUCAGACACGUUCAAGGGACAUGGUUUUCGCACCGAAUUGAUAUCCAUGCUUUUGGAUCUAAAACCACGAUUCUUGAGAUUUCCUGGUGGUUGCUUCGUUGAAGGCGAAUGGUUAAGAAAUGCAUUCAGGUGGAGGGAAUCUAUUGGUCCAUGGGAAGAGAGGCCUGGACACUUCGGAGAUGUUUGGCAUUACUGGACUGAUGAUGGCCUUGGAUAUUAUGAGUUUCUUCAGCUUUCUGAAGACCUGGGGGCUGCUCCAAUCUGGGUAUUCAACAAUGGAAUCAGCCACAAUGAUGAAGUUAGUACCGCUGCCAUUGCCCCUUUUGUAAAGGAUGUAUUGGACAGUCUAGAAUUCGCAAGGGGGAGUGCAAACUCAACAUGGGGCUCUGUUAGAGCUGCAAUGGGGCAUCCUGAACCGUUCCCAGUCAAAUAUGUUGCGAUUGGAAAUGAAGAUUGUGGGAAAAAAUACUACCUCGGUAAUUACCUCAAGUUCUACAAUGCUAUAAGAGAAUCCUAUCCAGACAUUCAGAUGAUUUCAAACUGUGAUGGUUCAUCUAAACCACUUGACCAUCCUGCUGAUCUGUAUGACUUCCAUGUCUACACCGAUUCUAAGACUUUGUUUAACAUGAAGGGUACGUUUGAUAAAACUUCUCGUACUGGUCCCAAGGCCUUUGUCAGUGAGUAUGCCGUAUGGAGAACUGAUGCAGGUAGAGGAAGCCUUCUUGGUUCACUAGCAGAGGCUGCCUUCCUUACUGGACUGGAGAAGAACAGUGAUAUUGUUCAGAUGGCAAGUUAUGCACCACUCUUUGUAAACGACAACGAUCAAACGUGGAAUCCAGAUGCUAUCGUCUUCAACUCCUGGCAACAAUACGGAACUCCUAGUUACUGGAUGCAGAAGUUUUUCCGCGAAUCUAGUGGUGCGAUGAUUCAUCCAAUUACAAUCAGUUCCAGCUACUCUGGUUCUCUAGCAGCAUCUGCUAUCACCUGGCAGGAUUCCGGGAAUAGCUUCCUGAAAGUAAAGAUUGUGAACUUUGGGUCAGACACCGUGAGCCUCACGAUCUCUGUGUCUGGGCUUCAGGCUAGCAUCAACGCGCUGGGGUCAAAUGCUACUGUUCUCACGUCCAGCAAUGUGAAGGAUGAAAAUUCUUUCAGUAACCCGAACAAGGUCGUGCCUGUGACGAGCCAGCUGCGCAACGCCGCGGAACAGAUGCAGGUCACACUCGCUGCCCACUCCUUCUCCUCGUUCGACCUUGCGCUUGCUCAGUCCGAGCUUGUCGCGGAGAUGUGA
rnacentral:rRNA from 1 species